CAGCCGCCACGGUAAUACGAAGGGGGCUAGCGUUGCUCGGAAUCACUGGGCGUAAAGGGUGCGUAGGCGGGUUUUUAAGUCAGGGGUGAAAUCCUGGAGCUCAACUCCAGAACUGCCCUUGAUACUGGGAAUCUUGAGUAUGGGAGAGGUGAGUGGAACUGCGAGUGUAGAGGUGAAAUUCGUAGAUAUUCGCAAGAACACCAGUGGCGAAGGCGGCUCACUGGCCCAUAACUGACGCUGAGGCACGAAAGCGUGGGGAGCAAACAGGAUUAGAUACCCGUGUAGUCCCUGUCUCUUAUAC
rnacentral:rRNA from 1 species